GGAAGUAAAAGUCGUAACAAGGUCUCCGUUGGUGAACCAGCGGAGGGAUCAUUACCGAGUUAUCCAACUCCCAACCCCUGUGAAUUAUACCUUUAAUUGUUGCUUCGGCGGGACUUCGCGCCCGCCGGGGACCCAAACCUUCUGAAUUUUUUAAUAAGUAUCUUCUGAGUGGUUAAAAAAAUGAAUCAAAACUUUCAACAACGGAUCUCUUGGUUCUGGCAUCGAUGAAGAACGCAGCGAAAUGCGAUAAGUAAUGUGAAUUGCAGAAUUCAGUGAAUCAUCGAAUCUUUGAACGCACAUUGCGCCCGUCAGUAUUCUGGCGGGCAUGCCUGUUCGAGCGUCAUUACGCCCCUCAAGUCCCCUGUGGACUUGGUGUUGGGGAUCGGCGAGGCUGGUUUUCCAGCACAGCCGUCCCUUAAAUUAAUUGGCGGUCUCGCCGUGGCCCUCCUCUGCGCAGUAGUAAAACACUCGCAACAGGAGCCCGGCGCGGUCCACUGCCGUAAAACCCCCCAACUUUUUAUAGUUGACCUCGAAUCAGGUAGGACUACCCGCUGAACUUAAGCAUAUCAAUAAGCGGAGGA
rnacentral:rRNA from 1 species